rnacentral:lncRNA from 1 species
UUGCCAUAAGACGGUUAAAGUUUCCAGGUUUGGGGUGGGAAAUAGAAAUACGAAAACAAGAGUCUUACAGUAAGUUGAGAGAUCCAAAGACGUUAGGGUUUACUUUUGAGGUGCCUCUUCUCUGUCCUAGCUUGUUUGCAGCGUUCAAAUAUUUGGUUAUUCUUUCGUUGGAUUUGAUCUGAAUCUCUUAGCUAUUAUUCCUUGCUUUCACAUGUAUAUCUUUUGUUUGAUUAUUUGUACCACCUUGCAAAUGCAAUGUUUUUCUUACGUUGAAUGCUGGCCUUUUGGGAGUGUAUGCUCGCUUUCUAUCUGAAUCUGACCAUCUUUCUUCGGUUUUAUCUUGUUCCUUCUCAAGUUAGUUGUACAGAUAUGCUAAACUUUCUUUGUCAAUUUCCAUGUCUCUUCCCUUUUUUUCCUUGGGUUUAUUCUUUUCCCGUGGUUCGAGGGAUGAUGUAAGCCUCUGCAUGUCUAAUAUAAUUUCUGCUCAUUGCCUUCACUACCGUGGCUGUUGAAGAGACGGGUAUCGGCAUCGGGUAUGAUGCUUUUGCCAUUGUUUUUUUCUCUCGAUUAGCGGAGGGAAUGGUUUCAAUACUACAUUUCCCUGCACGUGUCUCAUCUAUUUGUUGUGGAUCUGAUAUUUGAUUUAUAUCUUUGCAGGUCUGGCUGGAAAAAGUCCCAGAAAAUGUACUUCACCUUUUAAAAAAGUCUCUGUGGCUUGCACCUCAGACCAUUGCCGGGAUGCAUUCACUGACAGAGUUGCCGUUGGAUGGUCUUGAAUCUAUUUAUACUGGAGCCAGCUAACUACCAAAUGAAUGGUAUUUUGUGGCCUAGCUCGUCAUUCAUGCCAGUCUCAGCUGCUUCCAAAGGCAUUUGCCUCAUCUUGACGCAGUUGUCACUUUGUAGAGAUCGCUUUGGUCUGUGCUCCAUUUGUUAUCUAAUGUCGGAAUUACGUUCGUGGAUACAUUAAUUUAAUUUUGUUUCACUCGAUGUUCAUUUUUGUUGUCUUGGUUUUGAAUAUUUUAUACAGCAAAUCCUAUUAGAAGUCUGUAUCUUUUUCUUUUCAGCCAAAAUCAGUAUCUACAGAAAUUUUAAGCACAAAAAUACGAAACACGGGUAUGAUAUUUUAUACAACAAUUGAUCAUUGUGCGCCAAUCCUAUGAUGCUGUUUUACACGUGACAGGAGCUGUUAUCUUGCAAGUAGUUUAAUCAUUGAAUUUUGAGAUCUGUUUUACUGGAGAAACAAAUUUCAUAAUAUUGUUCCUUAAGCUUGGAUAUAAUAUACCCAUUUUAUCUUUUAUCGAUCAAAAUGCACGAACAAUUUCCGAAAUCACAAACGGGUCUGUGAAGGUUAAUGACAUGAUUUUGCAAUUAGAACAAAUAUUCACCCUAAGAAUCUGCCUAUGUUAUUAGUGAGGUGCAGAAUCAACCAUUAGUCUCUAAGCGUAUAAGGAUUUGGGGCGUUUCAGAGUCUGUUAUGGUGAUGAAGGAAGGGUGCUAAGCCAACUCAGUAAUCGCUGAUGACAAGUAGAGGUUUCCCAACAACUCGCAUGCUACGUGUCGCUUCCCUCGCAUUUCUAUAUCCUCCGCUCUGACAAA